UGUGAACUUUAUUAUCACCAAUAAAAUGUGAAUAUACAAAAGAAUCUUUUGUAGGAAAAUAAAAAUAACAUUGCAUGCAUGAAUUAUUCAAAAGAAUGGUUAAACAUUUACAAUAACAAAGAUCAAUAUUUAAGCCUAUGUUCAACGACGGUAAUUAGUAUAUGAAAUGUUGUCGUGAAGAUGGAGGAAAUUAAAGUUAUGGCUUAUGGAUUAAUUGGGUCGGGGCUUGAUGGCUUCGAAGGACCACGUAGGAUAUCUAAAACAAGCCCAUUAAAUUCCCUCGACCACUUAUCAUCUUGCAAUGGCCUGUAACAUGAUCCAAGUUGAGAAGAAGCUACCAAAACGAAGAGGAUGAUCACUAGAAGUGUAGAAAGCAUCUUAGAGAAAGUCGACAUGCCCAUGAUCUAUUUAACUUUAUAUAAUGUAAUGUGAUGAUUAAUUUGGAUGAAAUAUUAAGUAAAAUAAAAAUACUCUUAAUUUAAUUUAUGUUUUUGUGUCUUUGCUAGGGCUUAAUUAGAUGUGAUAUUG
rnacentral:lncRNA from 1 species